CCUACGGGGGGCAGCAGUGGGGAAUAUUGGACAAUGGGGGGAACCCUGAUCCAGCCAUGCCGCGUGUGUGAAGAAGGCCCUCGGGUUGUAAAGCACUUUCAGUGAGGAAGAACGCCUGGUGGUGAAUACCCAUCAGGAAAGACAUCACUCACAGAAGAAGCACCGGCUAACUCCGUGCCAGCAGCCGCGGUAAUACGGAGGGUGCGAGCGUUAAUCGGAAUUACUGGGCGUAAAGCGCGCGUAGGCGGCUUGAUAAGCCGGUUGUGAAAGCCCCGGGCUCAACCUGGGAACUGCAUCCGGAACUGUCAAGCUAGAGUGCAGGAGAGGAAGGUAGAAUUCCCGGUGUAGCGGUGGAAUGCGUAGAGAUCGGGAGGAAUACCAGUGGCGAAGGCGGCCUUCUGGACUGACACUGACACUGAGGUGCGAAAGCGUGGGUAGCAAACAGGAUUAGAUACCCGGGUAGUC
rnacentral:rRNA from 1 species